rnacentral:misc_RNA from 1 species
UGCUCAAUCUACCUGCAGUGACUGA